UACGGAAGGCAGCAGUGGGGAAUAUUGCACAAUGGGCGAAAGCCUGAUGCAGCUAUGCCGCGUGUAUGAAGAAGGCCUUAGGGUUGUAAAGUACUUUCAUCGGGGAGGAAAAAACAAAACUAAUAAUUUUAUUUCUUGACGUUACCCGAAAAAGAAGCACCGGCUAACUCCGUGCCAGCAGCCGCGGUAAUACGGAGGGUGCUAGCGUUAAUCAGAAUUACUGGGCGUAAAGAGCACGUAGGCGGUUUUUUUAAGUCAGAUGUGAAAUCCCUGGGCUUAACCUAGGAACUGCAUUUUGAAACUGAAAUACUAGAGUAUCGUAGAGGGAGGUAGAAUUCUAGGUGUAGCGGUGAAAUGCGUAGAUAUCUGGAGGAAUACCUGUGGCGAAAGCGGCCUCCUAAACGAAUACUGACACUGAGGUGCGAAAGCGUGGGGAGCAAACAGGGAUUAGAUACC
rnacentral:rRNA from 1 species